CCUACGGGAGGCAGCAGUAGGGAAUAUUGCUCAAUGGGGGAAACCCUGAAGCAGCAACGCCGCGUGGAGGAUGAAGGUUUUAGGAUUGUAAACUCCUUUUGUUAGAGAAGAUUAUGACGGUAUCUAACGAAUAAGCACCGGCUAACUCCGUGCCAGCAGCCGCGGUAAUACGGAGGGUGCAAGCGUUACUCGGAAUCACUGGGCGUAAAGAGUGCGUAGGCGGGGUAAUAAGUCAGCUGUGAACUCCUGUAGCUUAACUACAGAACUGCCUUUGAAACUGUUACUCUGGAGUGUGGGAGAGGUAGGUGGAAUUCUUGGUGUAGGGGUAAAAUGCGUAGAGAUCAAGAGGAAUACUCAUUGCGAAGGCGACCUGCUGGAACAUGACUGACGCUGAUGCACGAAAGCGUGGGGAGCAAACAGGAUUAGAUACCCGAGUAGUC
rnacentral:rRNA from 1 species